rnacentral:rRNA from 1 species
AGAGUUUGAUCAUGGCUCAGAUUGAACGCUGGCGGCAUGCUUUACACAUGCAAGUCGAACGGCAGCACAGGGAGCUUGCUCCCGGGUGGCGAGUGGCGCACGGGUGAGUAAUACAUCGGAACGUGUCCUGUUNUGGGGGAUAACUGGCUCGAAAGGGUGGCUAAUACCGCAUGAGACCUGAGGGUGAAAGCGGGGGAUCGCAAGACCUCGCGCAAUUGGAGCGGCCGAUGCCCGAUUAGCUAGUUGGUGAGGUAAAGGCUCACCAAGGCGACGAUCGGUAGCUGGUCUGAGAGGACGACCAGCCACACUGGGACUGAGACACGGCCCAGACUCCUACAGGAGGCAGCA